UACGUAGGGGGCAAGCGUUGUCCGGAAUCAUUGGGCGUAAAGAGCGUGUAGGCGGCUCGGUAAGUCCGCUCUGAAAGCCCGGGGCUCAACCCCGGGAGGCGGGCGGAUACUGUCGGGCUCGAGUCCGGAAGAGGCGAGUGGAAUUCCUGGUGUAGCGGUGAAAUGCGCAGAUAUCAGGAGGAACACCAAUGGCGAAGGCAGCUCGCUGGGACGGUACUGACGCUGAGACGCGAAAGCGUGGGGAGCAAACAGG
rnacentral:rRNA from 1 species